AAUAAUUAAUAAAUCUAAAAAGU
rnacentral:snRNA from 1 species